GUCAAGAUGCCCGAGUGGUUAAGGGGUUUGUUUCAGGUACAAAUCGACGGAAGUCGGCGUGGGUUCGAAUCCCACUCUUGACA